rnacentral:rRNA from 1 species
CACGUAGGGUGCGAGCGUUGUCCGGAAUUAUUGGGCGUAAAGAGCUCGUAGGCGGUGUGUCGCGUCGGCCGUGAAAACCUGCAGCUUAACUGUGGGCUUGCGGUCGAUACGGGCAUCACUGGAGUUCGGCAGGGGAGACUGGAAUUCCUGGUGUAGCGGUGAAAUGCGCAGAUAUCAGGAGGAACACCGGUGGCGAAGGCGGGUCUCUGGGCCGAUACUGACACUGAGGCGCGAAAGCGUGGGGAGCGAACAGG